rnacentral:rRNA from 1 species
GAUGAACGCUGACAGAAUGCUUAACACAUGCAAGUCAACUUGAACUUCGGUUUGGGUGGCGGACGGGUGAGUAACGCGUAAAGAACUUGCCUCACAGCUAGGGACAACAUUUGGAAACGAAUGCUAAUACCUGAUAUUAUGAUUAUAUGGCAUCGUAUAAUUAUGAAAGCUAUAUGCGCUGUGAGAGAGCUUUGCGUCCCAUUAGCUAGUUGGAGAGGUAACAGCUCACCAAGGCGAUGAUGGGUAGCCGGCCUGAGAGGGUGAUCGGCCACAAGGGGACUGAGACACGGCCCUUACUCAUACGUGAGGCAGCAGUGGGGAAUAUUGGACAAUGGACCGAGAGUCUCAUCCAGCAAUUCUGUGUGCACGAUGAAGUUUUUCGGAAAGUAAAGUGCUUUCAGUUGGGAAGAAAAAAAUGACGGUACCAACAGAAGAAGUGACGGGUAAAUACGUG